UACAACAUAGCGUUAAUGCACCAUAUCCCAUUAGAACUCCUUAGUUAAGCGCGCUCAAGAUAGAGUAGUACUGGGAUGGGUGAUCGCCCAUGAAGUCUUAGUGUUUUAC
rnacentral:rRNA from 1 species